CUAGACGUACUGUGCGGGAAUGAGGAUGCUUGAGGUGUGACCUCCAGGCCCUGUUUCUGUGAUUGUGCUGUCUUCACUUGUCUGUAUUUGUUGAGUGAUCCUCCAGACACGGCUGCCCUGACCCCAGCUCCACCCACCCAGCUGGGGCUUGGAGGGAAAGCGAGGUAGCCGCUGGCUCCAGCACUUGCUGCCCAGCCAUUGUGGACUCUGGCCAACAGGAAAUGGAGCGGGCAGUGUCCCAGCCUGAUUCACCGAGCCGUGGGUCUCCCUGCGCCUCUGCAAAUGCAUUCAGGCUGCUCCUGUCCUAAAAACAAUGCUCCCAGACCUAAAUCCACAGCUGAGAGAAUCCAGGGCAUGCAUUCGCCGGCCAGCUUCCCUGAGCUUCCCCCAGCAGCGGGCUUAAUGGGCGGGAAAGGGGGCCGCUGUCGGGAACCGAAGUGCGUGCCACUCUGUGAUCAUUUGCUUUGCAGUCAACAUGCUCAGCAGGGUGGACAACCUAAGGAAGACUGUCCCACAGGUCACUAGUGGUUAUGUCACCUCUGUCUUCCACCUCCACCUUCUCAUUGCUAAGGUGAAGAGAGGAGGGGAAAAAAAAAAAGCACGUUCCACAGCCCAGUGGGCAAUUCUUAGCUGUUUCUGGGGAGUCUGGCCCUGGCAAAGAGCCUUCUUCAGGGCAGGCUGGCUGCCAAAUUAUGCCAAGGGCAAAGCGUCCCAGGCUGUUUGAAGAGCUGCUGCCUGCUGGAGAGUUCGCCGCACCAGGACAUGGGCCUGGGAAAGGAAUGCUGCUCUCCUCUCUCAUUGGCCCCAUUUUUAGGUCAACAAACCAAGGCCCAGAGAGCUGAAGCGCCUGGCCCAAGGUUGCACAGUGGGCUUGUAGCCGAGCGGGGCAUCAAGUCAUUCUGGAAUCAGUCAUGAUCCUUGAGGCUGGCCCAUGCCCAGUGUUGGCAGAAGUCCAUGUGGAAAUGGACAGUUUGUACUCACACUGCCUUGCCACCAACCAGGCGUAGAGGCUGUGGCUUUCUCCUUGUUCCUUUGGUUUUCCUCUUGGAAGCCAGGCUAAGAGCCAGGGUCCUGAACAACCGGAGUUGGAGAAGGCUGGGCAUGAUCUCUACAUCUCUGGUCCUUUUGUCACUCCUUCGGUUUCUGAAGCUUGUGUGGAUGUUUAAUGCAGGGAGAGAGCAAUAUCAGAGCAAAUUAGAAUGGUUCUCAGAAUCUAGGCAUGGAAAGAAAUGAGGCUGAGGGCUCUGGAGCUCUGGAUUUCACAAAAAGCCCCAUCAGCUGUCCAGGAAAGCCUGUCAUCCCAGCUCUCACAGAUCCUUGUAUGUACCCGAGUUUAGCCCAUGUCCACCGACUGCAUCAUCAUCGGUGUCUCUGCCUCUUUCUCUCAACUGUCUGUUCCCUGGAUCUCAGCACCAAGGACAGAGCUUGCUUAGCACCUGGAGUUUCUCCGGGCUUGUAAGUGGCUGAGUGAGGGGCACAGUGUAGAAGGGACUUGGUCCACGGUAACCCAGUCGAGCUUCUGGAGCGACCUGGCUUUCCUGGCUGUUUUUCACCUUAUCAAGUGGCUUCUCCCAAAUGCAUGAGAGGCUGAUGGCAGUUCUGCUGGCUGACUUCAAAAACAGUAAAACCUUCAAGGCUUUAUUAGGCAGAUAUAUAAAUACAGUUCCCCUUCAUAAAAUGCAUCUGUCACAGCCCUGCCGAACGAGAAGGAAUUGUUUGCAAACUUUCCCGUGUUAUUACCCCCAAACUUGGUAAAUAUAUGUACUAGAUAAAUAAUCUCGGGUGCCCCAUACGUCAUUGCAGUUUGGGACAGGAGUAAUCUACCUGCUGGCAAAUUUCAUGUGUCACCACCUUAUUGACUCAUUUGAAUGAAAGAGGAGAGCAGAGCUAUAAAACCAUCCUCGUGAAGUAGGAGACUAAGUGUUUUGGAAACCGUGUGGGUGUCCCACGGGUAGGCAGGGUGAUUAUUAUGAUGACGCUUUGAGCCUCUGACCUCAGUCCCCCUUGUUUUUCUGGUCAAGGACCUAGCAUCUCCCAGACUGGAAUGGCAGUUCUUCAAGCUUUUGGGUACCGUUCCAGCUGCUUCCAGGGGGUGUCCGUGUUUUAUUUGAAGCCGUUCUCAGAGUCAGACCAUGGAGCGUCUAACUCACUGUGUGACUCUUGGACAAUUUGCUUUAGCCGUGCGAGCCCUGUUUUCUCUCUCCACAAUGGCUAUAAUCAAAACAAUUAAUGAUAAUCGUAGCUUUUAUAUACUGGGUGCUUACUCUGGGUGGAAACUCUGUGCUAAAUAUAUUCCAUGGACUAGGGCAUGUAAUCUGAGCAGCAGCUCGAUAAAGUAGUUACUUUUAUUAUUCCCAUUUUACAGAUGAGGAAACUAAGGCUUCGAGAGUAUUUAUUGCUGCAUAUAAAACACCUCCAGAUAGUGGCUUUGAACACCAAUCAUCCUUUAUUUUGCUCACGAGUCCAGGGGCUGCCGGGGCUCAGGUUAGCCUGGGGAGGAAGAUAAAGACAUUUGCAACCAAGAUGGUAAUCACGAGUGGAAAUGACGAAGACAGAGGAGGCCAAGAAAAAGAGAGCAAAGAGGAGAGUGUCUUGGCGAUGCUGGGCAUCAUCGGGACCAUCCUGAACCUAAUCGUGAUCAUAUUUGUGUACAUAUACACCACUCUGUGAACGGCCCAGCGGGUCCGCAGAGGCCUCGGGAUGGCCAAGACGGGAGUCCUGUGUGUCGACAGAUCGGUAAGCAGACACUGUGUGAACAAGCGAGCUUGACCUACCCACGCUGCUCGAUCAAAGGCACCUUUGAACUUUAUCAAAGGUCACAAAAAUCAACCGAUCCUGCUACAAGGAGCCGACACUAAAGCACAAUGAACCCAACAGAACUCAUCCACGCAACGAGGAGCUCAGCGUCUUCGGCAGAGGGCCCGAGAGAACGCUCGGAAGACCAGCCUUGGCUGCCGUCGGAGAGCGCAUGGGUGCAGACGUUCAAGAUGCCUGGUCGCUGACGACAUCACGUAUUCAAAGAGAGGAACAGGGCAGACUCCGCUCGUCGGUGUGUCUCCCAGGACGCGCGUUUCAUCUUGACUCGAUGAGCUGUCCAGGACGAGAAACCGCAGGGGCAGUCCUUUGACAGACAUCCCAUUCAUCAAAAGUGUCUAACUAUUUGAUACCGGGGAGAUAACUUAUUUUUCUUUUUUCAUUGGCUUGACAUGUGUAUCUGUUCAUAUCAAGGUUUAUAAAUAUAUAUUUUUAAUAAAUGUGCUCUAUUUUUUAGCAUGAACCAAAUAUUUGGAGAGGCGCUCCCAGAUACAUAGAGCUUCCUUGCUUUCACUGCUCUGCCCUCUAGACUGCCGAUGUUCUGUUGUGUCGUCAUUCUAAUCCUGUUUCUCUCAUCUUUAGCCUUUGGCCUUCUCUCCCCCUCUCUUUGGUCUGGAGGACAUUUUUCCAUAAUACCAGCCAUGCUCUUGGUUGGUGCAUGUUUUAAGAUUGUCCGUCGAGCGGCUUUUUGUUGUAAUAUCGGAGAUAUAAAACGAUCGUGGGCAUGUGGACCUUAGAUGCACCGUACCCUUACUGAGAUUUAUGCAUGAACAAGGUCUGAGUGACAGAUCAGCUUUAAAAUAAUCUAAAAAGGACUGUCAUUGAGGAGGAGCGCAGCUAAGUUUGCAGAUCCGCUACGGGAUGGAAUAUUCCACUUCUUCUCCGCAGCAUAUUACUUCAUUCUUGUGACCAUUUGGCGAUCAGAUUUUGAUUUUAAUGGCCUUGUAUGGGGGGGAAGCUCAGCGUUAGAUGCAUAAUUCCUUCCUGAGCGAGCCGCCUGGGCUCCCUGGGGGGGUGUAAAUGACACGGACUCCCCACUGUUUGAGCUCACCUGGGCGUUUCAAGCUGCAAGGACACCCCCAUGACGGGUGACUUUUCAGGGGCACUGGAAGGGGACGGGGUGAUGGCCCUAAGGGAUCGCUGCACUUCCUAAAGUUCCUGGUUUACACCCACAUGCAGCUGCUUCCUCCCGGGCUGGGAUGGUGGAAUAAAUCUGAGUUUGCCCUGUUCUCCUGGCUUCCGGAGACAGGCCUUUGCUGGCUGCAGCGGCAAGGCCUUAAAAAGAGGGUCAGAAUUCCUUCUGCCAGCACCAGCCUUGCCCGUGGGCAACAGAAGCAGUGACCUGCCUGGUUGGAUUCGAAUGAUGUCCAGGAGGUCUCUGCCCCUUGAUCUCUCCCUCCUCAUGUUGUGGUGUCUGAAAUUUCACCAUUAGAGAGUCAUUUCAUGGGCUCUUCUAUGGUUUCCAGCCUCUUUUAUAAAGCAAAUGCCCCUGAGCACCUGGCUCUGACAUUGAUUCAUCAGAUGUGUUCUCUUCCCCACCCAAAGGAAGGAGGUUGGUGUCCAUUUAGGGCAUCCUGUGUGCCAGGCGCUGUGCCACACACUGUAUUCCUAAAGUCAUUAAAUUCUUGCAGUAACCUUGUGGGAUAGGGAUUCUGUUCCCCACGUUGUAGAAGAAGAAAGUAGGACUCAGCGAGAUCAGGAAUCUUCCCUGGGAUCACGUGGUGAGUCGGGACUCUAACCCCUCAUCUGCCUGAUUUCCUCGCCCAUUGAGGGCCUGGAGGCUGCUGGGAAGAGAAGGGGUGACUUCACAGGAAACGGUCCUGGGGGUCAGGACAGAAACCCAAUGGCUUUGCUGAGGGCCAGCUCAGUAUCCCUCCCUCUGCACCCCCAUAAUAAUAAGCACCCCCUGGGAACUCCUUGACCGCUGGCAGAAUAGCAUACAGAUAAGGACCAGGGACGAGAGGAGGCGGUUAGAGAGAAAAUGGAAUGUCGGGGGAGGCAGCUGUCUCACAGGCUCUGUGUGGUUCUAGAAAGACUGUAUGAAAAUUCUGAACAGUAAACAGAGUAAACAAUAAAGGUGCAAUGAAAAAC
ensembl:lncRNA